rnacentral:rRNA from 1 species
UACAGAGGUCCCGAGCGUUGUUCGGAUUCAUUGGGCGUAAAGGGUGCGUAGGCGGUUUGCUAAGUUUGAUGUGAAAUCCCGGGGCUUAACCCUGGAACUGCAUUCAAUACUGCCUUGCUAGAGUACUGGAGAGGAGAUUGGAAUUUACGGUGUAGCAGUGAAAUGCGUAGAGAUCGUAAGGAAGACCAGUGGCGAAGGCGGGUCUCUGGACAGUUCCUGACACUGAGGCACGAAGGCCAGGGGAGCAAACGGGG